AGUGAACGCUGGCGGUAGACCUAACACAUGCAAGUCGAACGGCAGCACAGUAAGAGCUUGCUCUUACGGGUGGCGAGUGGCGGACGGGUGAGGAAUACAUCGGAAUCUACUUUUUCGUGGGGGAUAACGUAGGGAAACUUACGCUAAUACCGCAUACGACCUACGGGUGAAAGCAGGGGAUCUUCGGACCUUGCGCGAUUGAAUGAGCCGAUGUCGGAUUAGCUAGUUGGCGGGGUAAAGGCCCACCAAGGCGACGAUCCGUAGCUGGUCUGAGAGGAUGAUCAGCCACACUGGAACUGAGACAAGGUCCAGACUCCUACGGGAGGCAGCAGUGGGGAAUAUUGGACAAAGGGCGCAAGCCUGAUCCAGCCAUACCGCGUGGGUGAAGAAGGCCUUCGGGUUGUAAAGCCCUUUUGUUGGGAAAGAAAAGCAGCAGGUUAAUACCCCGCUGUUCUGACGGUACCCAAAGAAUAAGCACCGGCUAACUUCGUG
rnacentral:rRNA from 1 species